AUCAAAUGAGAAUACCGGCUGAACUUAAGCAUAUCACUAAGCCGAGGAAAAGAAACUAACAAGGAUACCCUAAGUAACGGCGAGUGAACCGGGUAAUGCUCAAUCUUAAAAUCUGUGUCUCAAAUGAGGCAUCGAAUUGUAGUUUUUUGAUAAUCAUUCCCUCUUCUUUUAAUAUAAUUAAAGUCUCUUGGAAUAGAGUGUCAUAGAAGGUGAGAACCCUGUGAAUAGUUAUAUUAAGGGGAGGAUAUUGAGUUUGAUUAUCAUAGAGUCGGGUUGUUUGGGAAUGCAGCCUAAAAAGGGUGGUAAAUCUCAUCUAAAGCUAAAUAUUUGGUAAGAGACCGAUAGAAAACAAGUACCGUGAGGGAAAGAUGAAAAGAACUUUGAAAAGAGAGUUAAAAGUACUUGAAAUUGUUAACUGGGAACCGCUUAAAUUCUAAUCUCUUAAUUACUAUUUAAAUCUAUCUUCUUUAAAGGUGUAUCUACAUUAAAUAGAUGUAACUCAGUUACUCUAUGAGUGGGUGAA
rnacentral:rRNA from 1 species